GGGUUAGUAGGUCGGUCAUGCCUCAGGUAUGCACUGGUCUCACUGAUUCCUCCUUCCUGAUGAGCCGUAAUGCCAUUAAUUUGGUGUUGCGGGGAAUCUGGACUGUUACUUUGAAAAAAUUAGAGUGCUCAAAGCAGGCAUUUUGCUUGAAUAUAUUAGCAUGGAAUAAUGGAAUAGGAC
rnacentral:rRNA from 1 species